UUGAUUGCUUGAUUCAAAAUUUUAAUCCUGAUAAAUGCUCAUUCAUGAUUGGGAAUAAAAAUUGUGUGUUCGGUAUAGAUGAUAUUCACCGAAUUACCGGAUUGCCAAAGGAGGGAAUUCCGAUAAAAAUGAGUGGGGCAGCGGCUAAUACAAUCUACACCUAUUUUGUAAAGAAUUAUAAGAAAGCCGAUGAGGAAAAGAAGGCGGUGAUUUCGGGGAAGCGCGAUAGAAUGGCCGAGAUGAUUGUAGAUAUGAUUAAUGAAGACCCUAUAAUAUGUGUGAAACUUAUUGUGGCUUUCAUUAUCGGCUUCAUAUUAUGCCCGCGGACAUGUAAGACAUGUCCCUUGUGGGCGUUUAGAUAUGCGGAGCAGUUAUCAACUUUGCAUAAAUAUAAUUGGUGCCAUGCGGUGUUCACUCUUCUUUGCAAAGAGAUGAGUAAAUCAAAGAAGUCUCUUAGUAUGCGGGAAUUAGGUCAGCGCUCAAAUGCCGGGUACAUGGGUGGUUUUUCCUCCGUUUUACUGGUUUGGUUUUAUGAAAAAGUAGGGGAAUUAGAGUACACUUCAGAUAUUGAAAGGUUACCGCCGCUCUUUUGUGUGAAGAGUACUGGAAAGUGGAGGAGGACUACUAUGAACAAAUUAUAUAGAGUCCCGAAGUUGGUUACGGAUAAUGGCCAAGAGAAUACUCCUCUUAUUCAUACGGCAUCGCCAAUAGUAUUUGAAUCAAGGAAAGCUGAAUUAAUUUUCUUAAUUGCGGAGAAGACGUACGAGUUGAAUGAGCUCACUACAGAAUUACGAGAAUUAGAAGAGCGUAGUGCUAGAUGCCAAAAAAAAACCAAGGAGAAAGAGGAUGACGGAAAUGUAACUGAAGAAAAAAAAAUCAAAGAGGAUAUGGAAGCUAAGGAAUAUGAGAAUUUGGAAGGAACUGGGGAAGCCGAUUUAUGUGAUGACUUUGUGAUGAGCCCAAGAGACAUGAGAAUUUUAGAAGAUGCUCGAGAUGUUUCUCAAAAAGAUGAAGGUGGUAAUGAGAAUAACAGAGAAACGCCAUCUAUCAAACGGGCUGUCGGAAAGAGGGAGAGGAAGGAUGGACCCUCUGUUACUUCACCUUAUAUGCCUCUAGAUCAACCAAAGGAAGGCACAAAGAAGAGACGUGUCAUCCAGAUAUUGGAUAGUCCUGAUGGGAAAAAAAGUACAAAAAUGAAGAAGGCUUCAUACCUACAUCUAGAGACUAUCCAGGUAAGGCACUGGCGUUUGAUUAUGAGAACAAAUUAAUUGAAGACUUUCUACAAUCGAGAAUGAACAGUGAUACGUACAUUUGGAAGUGUGCCGAAGCAAGCGUAUCUCGCUUAGAUGCUUAUAUACUAUUAACGGGAGGUGAACUCAGUGACGAUGUGAUCGAUGCAUUUGUUAUUCGGCUUUGUAACAAGAUUGAAACAAGUGAUAGUUAUGAUCGAAAGAUACAUGUCACAAGACCUUGGCUUGCACAAGCAUUUCUAGAAGGAAAUCUUGAAAUGGUGGCAAAACGAAUGAAGGAAAAUGUUUCUCAGCAGAAGUUCUUGGAGUGUGAAAGAAUUCUGAUCCCGAUUGUCAGCUCCGGACAUUGGCACCUGGUAGAGUUAGUGAGAGAGGAGACAAAAUUCUAUCACUACUCCUCAAUCAACUCCCCCAUUUAUACCGCCGAUGCUGUGAAAUUUAUAAAUAAGUUUAUGAGUUUCAUUGAGAGUAAUUGGGGAUUGGGGAAAUUGGAGCAUCAUGGUCUUGUGUCAGUUGCCGUGCCACAACAAGGACCAACGUUAGAUUGCGGGAUCUUUAUGAUUGAAUUCAUUAACAGCAUUGUCGAAAAACGGUCGAUAACAAUUUCAAAAGGAGAUUGUGCAAAAUAUAGAGCAAGGUUUUGUGCUGCUCUUUUGUAUGCACGCGAUUCACCUUUUUUGUAAAUAUUAUUUUAAUUUUCUCCAAGGUUUUUGUUGUGUAUUCAAUGUUGUAAGUAUGUUCAUGUUGUUAAUA